UCUACGCUUUCCAGCGCCUUCAGCCGGUUCCCUCGCGUGAGCCUCAGAACAGCUAAAGCAGAGAGGAGCGGAACCAGCAGUCCUCCUCUCCUUGCCUUUUGGGGCCAGUGGGCAUGUCCAGGGAUGGGGUCACGCACAGGUGUCUUACAGAGAAAUGUGCAUCUCGGAGUCUGUCAACAAAAUUUUUAUUUCAAGUCUGUGCAACGUGAGGAUUGUUGAAUUUCUGUCCUUCUGGUAUUUAUGGAGGACCCACAAAAAGAACUACUCUGAGUAAAUAAACAGAGAAGAUUAAAGGCUGUCCUCUAUGGGGGGCACCGUUUAUGAGGCAACAAACCAGGAGAGUUGUCUCUGGGAUUUUGUGAUGCUGCUCCAGCCCUGCAGUGGAAACACAUCUCAUUUACGAGUCAUUUCAGGAAGUUUAGGCUCCUCAGCUUCUGAAUCGUAGCAUCCGGAGGCUCUGAGUCUAUGUGUCUGUUGUGGGAGUGUCCCUGCGAACACACAGAGAAGAAAGUGUACUGGUUUCCUAGGGCUGCUGCAGACUCGGUGGCUUAAACAACAGGAAUGUGCUGUUCUGGAGGCUGCAAGGCCAGGAUCAAGGUAGGGCAGAGUGGGCUCCUCUGAGGGCUGGAGGGAAGACCUGCUUCAGGCCUGUUGGCUCAGCUGUUGUCUCAUCCCUGUGUCUUCAUGGCAUCUUUUCUCAAUGCAUGUCUGCCACGCUGUCUCAGUUUCUCCCUUUUUAUAUGGACAUCUGUCCUUUUGAGUUAGGGCCCAUCCUAAUGACCUCAUUUAAACUCAAACUCUUAUCUCCAAGUCCUGUCACCUGCUGAUGCAUUGGGGGCUUGGACUUCUACAUAGCAUUUUUAGGGGACACAGUCCAACCCAUAAUGUGGAGUGAGCAGGUGCCUGAGGGCUUGAUUCAGAAAAGAGCAGCAAGAACAACACCCCCAAAGCUUGGAAGGGAACAGAGUGAGGGCAGAGACCAGGCUCACUUCUACCCUCAGGCAGCCCUCUGCACAGGUCCCUCCCUUUGCCCCCUCACCUGGGGCUGCUUGCCUUCUAGGUUAUGAGUGUGUGGGUAUGAGGGGAUGUGUGGGACAACACACAAGGGAGAGAAAGUAUAUGUGGUCCAGUUCUGCACACACAAGGCACACUGCAGUCUAUGCAGGAGAUGCCCCAUAAACAUGACUCUUAAGUGAUGUGGGGGUCUUGAGGGGGAUAGCAGGGAGGGGCAGGGGUCUCUCUGUUGGUACCUUUUGGUUACAAAGUAUGUGGAAUGCUGCAGGCUUGGCCAUCUCCAUUCCUGCUUUGACACUGGCUGGGAAGAGCAGAGAGAUCAGGAAUACUGGGGAGAAAGGGCUUCCCAUAAUACUCAGGCCAGGUGGGGCCCAGAGCUUGUUCCUGACAUUGACAAGCAUAUGGCUCCCUCCCUCCCUCCAUCCCCCCUCUCCUUGUCUGUACCCAGAGAUCCACCAGGUAGAGUGUAGGGGGAGUCUGCUGCUACCAGGUGUGAUGCCAUAUUUAUCAAGGUGAGUUCCUAGAAAGGUACAGGAUGCUGAGCAUGCUAGGCAAGCUGUCUGGGCCAGCUGCUCCAUUCCUGGCUAGCCACUGGAAGGAGGAGAUUCUGGAAUGUCACCCUAAACAAUAAUACCCUGAUUUAAACAAUAGUACCCUGAUUUGUAGAGUUUGCCAAUUUCUGUGCUGUAAAGACUUCCAUCAUAACUGAUUUCAUGCUAACAACAUCAAGUCAAAACAGGCUCACAGAUCUGAAAAUUUAACAUUAAUACCUUCCUAUCCCUGGUAUAAAGAAGGAACUGAGGCCCAGAAGUAGAUUAGCCCAAGGUCACAUAGCAAGUUGAUUAGGGGCUCAGCUGGACUAUGUGGCCAAAUUGUGUUGGAAUAUGUCUGUCUUCCCAGUGUCACCAUUAAUAAUGGGUCCUCUGAGACAGUGGGUCAGGGAAAUGAGUGGCAGACUGGCCAUCCAGUGGGAUAGCUAUGGGAGCUCUGAUCACCAGCAUGUCCUAAUAAUAACACCCAACAUCACAGAGCCACUAGUAGUUUACCAAGUGCCUUCUUACCUGUUAUCUCUAAAUUUAAUUUCCACAGCAACCUGGGGGGCACGUGUUGUUAUUACAUAUUACAGAGUAAUUGUCUGAUGUCUAGGUCAUGUGAUCACUAAGUGGCUGUGCAUUCACCCAAACCUAGGUCUUCUGAGACCAGUCCUGCUUCUUCCUACUUCUCAGGAUGCUGAGACCAUGAUGUUACUUCUCAGGAUUCUGGGCCAGGAUGCUUCUCCAGUAGCCUGACUAUUCUCCACCUAUAGAAGACCUAGAGCCCCUAUGCCAUCCACGAUGCUAUCAGUCUAGUGAAGAGGUUGCUCAGUUAGUACUUACUGGACCAUGCCUUGGACCAUGGCCAGGGGGCUAACCUUUACCUUCUGCUAUUCCCUGAGGGUGGUGCCCUUGAUGCCUGGCCACUCUCAUCCCACCUGGCCUCAUCUCACCCAGGACUGGGACCCCCAGCUUACUUCACCGCAGGUCUUCUCAGGGCUGUCUCCAUCCCCUACAGCCUCCCCAGGCCUUUCUUCCAAGGACUUAGCUGACACAGGUGAGGAAGGCAUUCAUGGUGUCAUUUUACUGUAGUUCCUUUCCUGGAAUAACUUAGCUUCCUGAUCCAGGAAGUCUCAGCCCCAGGCCCGUCUACAUCUCUCAGGCUGGGCUCAGCAUAUUAAAGGGAACUGUAGCUUGUUUGGAAGAUAGGCAGACAGACACACAGAAGAACAGAGGGAGGAAAAGAGAGAAAGGCACCGAGGAAGAGAGACAUGAAGUCAGAUAACCAAAGCCUAUAUGUGCUAGGCACUGUGCUAAGUCCUUAUAGUAACCCUCUGAGGUAAAUACUUUCUGAUCCCCAUCUGAGAGUUGAGGAAAUUAAGGAGGCUAGGGAAAUUAAGUAUCUUGCCCAAUAUGAUACAGCCAAUGACUAUGAAACAAACUCUGUAUAUCUGUUAUUAUCCAUUACACUACCGGGCAUUCUGGUUAAGAAAAGGGAGGCCAGAGGGAGUGAGACAAAGAGAUUGAGAGGUGAGAGGGUAAGUGAUGAGACUAGCUGUCCACCCAGCUUGGGGUGCCUUGGUCGAGAGGCAGGGUGCAAUGUACCAAGGAGAAAGUGAACCUGAUGAGAAGUCAGGAUAGCCUUUGCCAACUGUGUGGCCUUGGACCAGUUACUUCACCUCUCUCAGUCCUUUGGCAGGCAGCUGUGCACAUGUACCUGGAGAAGCCUGCUCACAACUUGCAGGAGCCAGGUAGGCAAAAAGGACUCUGUCCUCCAAAUUAUGGGGAUGUGUGCUCUGACUACUACUUCUGAUCACAGAGGUACAGACAAAAGACAGGUGUCCAUUUUUUUGUGCCUCUCUUAUUGUUGCAAGCCCUUCCCCCUCUGGCUGAAGUGACUUUCACAGUAUUUAAGAGACCAGCACCUUCUGACGCUUAAUUUUCCUGUUUUUUUCUUCUUUUGGGAGCCAGAUAUUAAAAACUAGGACAUUUGAAACCAACUCCAUCUAUGAAGAAAAUUAGAAAAGUGAUAGUGACUGCCCAGGAAAAGGCAGUCAGGAAAAACCUGACUUUAAGUUUACAUCUUAGGUGAUCCUUGACACAGAGAUAGCCUACAGCAACCAAAACAGCAAAACAAAACAAUAAUAAAGUCAGCAAACCCUUGGAUUUCCAUAGUUACCAGAUUAUUAGAUUCAAAUAACCAGUGUUCAAAAAAAUAAAAAAAGACAUACAAAUAAGAAAAUGUGGUCCAUUCAAAGGAAAAAAAAAUCAGAAGAAACAUCUUUGAAAAAGACCUGAUGUACUGGUACCACACUGUCUUGAUUACUGUAGCUUUAUAGUAUUGUCUGAAGUCUGGGAGAGUUAUGCCUCCUGCUUGGUUUUUGUUCCUCAGGAUUGCUUUGGAAAUUCUGGUCUUUUAUGGUUCCAGAUAAAUUUUUGGAUUGUUUGUUCUAGUUCUGUGAAAAAUGUCACAGGUAAUUUGAUAAGGAUUGCAUCGAAUCUGUAGAUUGCUUUGGGUAGUAUGACCAUUUUAAUGAUAUUAAUUCUUCCAAUCCAGAGCAUGGAAUAUCUUCCCAUUUCUUUGAAUCCUCUUUAAUUUCCUUGAUUAAUGUUUUAUAGUUCUCAGCAUAGAAGUGUUUUACCUCCUUGGUCAGGUUUAUUCUUAGGUAUUUAAUUUUGGGGGGGUGCUAUUUUAAAAGGUAUUUUUAUAUUCCUUUUCUAAUAUUUCAUUGUUAGUAUACAGAAAUGCAACCAAUUUCUGAAUGUUAAUCUUAUAUCCUCUACUUUGCUGAAUUCGUUGAUCAGUUUGAUUAGUUUUUGUGUGGAGUCAUUGGGGUUUUCUAUAUAUAGUAUCAUGUAAUCUGCAUAUAGUGACAACUUUACCUCUACACUUCCAAUUUGGAUACCUUUUAUUUCUUUUGUUUGUCUGAUUGCUGUGGCUAGGACUUCCAAUACUAUGUUGAAUAGCAGUGGUGAGAGUGCCUUGUUCCAGAUUUUAGCAGGAAGGCUUAGUUUUUCUCUGCUGAGUAUUAUAUUGGCUGUGGGUUUGUCAUAAAUGGCUUUUAUUAUGUUAAGGUACAUUCCCUCUAUACCUACCUUGGUAAGAGUUUUUAUUAUGAGUGGAUGUUGAAUUUUGUUAAAUGCUUUUUCUGCAUCUAUUGAGAUGAUCAUGUGGUUUUUGACUCUUCUUUUGUUAAUGUGGUGUGUGACAUUGAUUGAUUUGCGUAUGUUGAACCAUCCUUGUGAACCUGGGAUGAAUCCCACUUGGUUGUGGUGUAUGAUCUUUUUUUAAUAUGUUGUUGUAUUUGGUUGGCUAAAAUCAAUACAGCAUGUUACUGGUACAAAAACAGACAUGCAGACCAAUGGAACAGAAUAGAGAACCCAGAAAUAAACCCAGACACCUAUGGUCAAUUAAUCUUUGACAGAGGAGGCAAGAAUAUAAAAUGGGGAAAAGACAGUCUCUUCAGAAAGUGGUGCUGGGAAAACUGGACAGCUGCAUGUAAAUCAAUGAAACUAGAACACACCCUAACACCAUGCACGAAAAUAAACUCUAAAUGGCUUAAAGACUUAAACAUAAGACAAGACACCAUAAAACUCCCAGAAGAGAACAUAGGCAAAACAUUCAUUGACAUCAACCGUACAACUGUUUUCUUAGGUCAGUCUCCCAAAGCAAUAGAAAUAAAAACAAAAACAAACCAAUGGGAUCUAAUCAAACUUAAAAGCUUUUGCACAGCAAAGGGAACCAUUUAAAAGAAAAAAAAAAAAGACAGCCUAUGGAAUGGGAGAAAAUAGUUUCACAUGAUGCAACUGACAAGGGUUUAAUCUCCAAAAUAUACAAACAACUCAUAUAACUCAACAGGAAAACAAAACAAAACAAUCCAAUUGAAAAAUGGGCAGGAGACCAGAAUAGACAUUUCUCAAAAGAAGACAUACUGAUGUCCAACAGGCACAUGAAAAAAAUGCUCAAAUCACUAAUUAUUAGAAAAAUGCAAAUCAAAACUGCAAGGUACCACUUUACAUCAGUCAGAAUGGCCAUCAUAAGUAAGCCUACAAAUAAGUCUAAAAUGCUAGAGAAGGUGUAGAGAAAAGGGAACCCUCCUACACCGUUGGUGGGAAUGUAAAUUGCUACAACCACUAUGGAAGACAGUAUGGAGGUACCUCUGAAAACUAUGAUACAGCAGUCCCACUUCUGGGCAUAUAUCUGGACAAAACUUUUAUCGAAAAAGAUUCAUGCACCCCUAUGUUCAUUGCAACACUAUUCAUAAUAGCCAAGACGGAAACAACCUAAAUGUUCAUUGACAGCUGAAUGGAUUAAGAAGAUGUGGUACAUAUACUUAAUGGGACACUACUCAGCUGUAAAAAAGAACAAAACAAUGCCACUUGCAGCAAUAUGGAUGGAACUAGAGACUCUCAUACUAAGUGAAGCAAGUCAGAAAGAGAAAGACAACUACCAUAUGAUAUCUCUUAUAUGUGGAAUCUAAUCUAUGGCACAAAUGAACUGGCUACAGAAAAGAAACAAACUCAUGGACAUGGAGAACAGACUUGUGGUUGCCGAGGGGGAGGGAGUGGGAUGGACUGAGAAUUUGGGGUUAGUAGAUGCAAACUAUUGCAUUUGGAGUGGAUCAGCAAUGAGGUUCUGCUAUAUAGGACAGAGAACUAUAUCUAAUCACUUGUGAUGGAACAUGAUGGAGGAUAAUGUGAGAAAAAAAUGUAUAUAUAUGCACAACUGUGUCACUUUGCUGUGCAGCAGAAAUUGACAGAACAUUGUAAAUCAACUAUAAAAAAAGACUCGAUGGCAGAUAUACUAGACAAAGAUUUUAAAACAAUUGUCUGAAGAUGCAAAAGGAACUAAAGGAAGAUGUGGAGAAAGUCAAGAAAACCAUGUAUUAGCAAAAUGGAAAUACCAAUAAAAAGAUAGAAAACCAAAAAGAAAGCAAAAAUAAAUUCUGAAUUUGAAAAGUACAAUAAUGAAAUGGAAAAUUCACUUGAGGGAUUCAAAGCCAGAUUUGAGCAGGCAGUAAAAAGAUUCAGUGAACUUUAAGAGAGGACAAUGGAAAUGAUCAAA
rnacentral:lncRNA from 1 species